UACAGAGGUCCCGAGCGUUGUUCGGAUUCACUGGGCGUAAAGGGCGCGUAGGCGGUCGUGACAAGUCACUUGUGAAAUCUCCGGGCUUAACUCGGAACGGUCAAGUGAUACUGUCGGACUAGAGUACAGAAGGGGCAACUGGAAUUCUCGGUGUAGCGGUGAAAUGCGUAGAUAUCGAGAGGAACACCUGCGGCGAAGGCGGGUUGCUGGGCUGAUACUGACGCUGAGGCGCGGAAAGCCAGGGGAGCGAACGGGAUUAGAACCUCUAGUCAG
rnacentral:rRNA from 1 species